CGCGGCGGGUGUGAGGCCGAGGGACCCGUCGCUCGUUGGGGGGUGGCGGGAGAGGGAGCGCUUGGCGGUGCGGGGCUGUGCGGCUGGACAAGCCCGAGGUGUCGGCUGAGCUGCGUUUCCCUCCCCUCCGACGCGAGGCCUGUUGGGGCGGGAAAAGAUUCCCGGUGCAAAGUGAGGAGGGCUUUUCGCUCCAAGAGGGCAGCCGAGACGAGGGCUCCUCAGCCUGGAAGGAGAGGUGGUCACCGACUGGACUGCCGCCGGCUCUGCCGAGCGAGGCCUGGCGCUGGGGCCGGGGCUGGGUUGGAAGCAGGUGGAGGGACCACUUUUGCGGCAGGAGCCGGAGCUGCGGGACUCGCUGGCAAAGGCUCUCACACAUGUGAAGAGUUUGCGAGGGCUGCAGGGGGGACUGGGCAGAACAAACAAGCGACAGUCAGACACCAGGUGGUGCCGAAGACCAGCCAGAAAAGAAAGUGAAAGGAGUGCAGGGAGUGUUAAGAAAGAGCAAGAAGUAAAGAACAACUGCAAGAUACUCAGUUUCUGAUUUCAGUAAAUUAGGAGCAACGUACAGUAACGUCAGCAGGAUGGCAAAAUUAGGAAUGAAACCAUUUGCAGAGGUGAAGAAGAGUACAAAAAUAAAUCAUGAAUGAGCAAUAAUCUCUGUUCUGGUCAUCUAGCUCUAAGAUUCUAAUAUGUUUUUAAAACAAACUUAACAGAUACAGAGCAAAAAUACUGUGUAAAGAUGUAUAGUUAAACUGGGAGGAUAUGCACAUCUGUUUUUAUUUAGCAAUGCACAAGGCAAAUAAAAUAUUUGGAAUUUUAAAUAUAAGGUAGGGAGUUACAAUGAAACAUACAGCCAAAAUGAGCUUAGCCAGGCAUCAUCCGUAGUUCAGCCUUUUGGCAGUUCUGGGGUUGGCUGAGCAGGGUUGAGGAAGUCCCUCUGGCAAACCAGCGUAAUGUGAGUAGCCAUUCAGCAGAGCACCUUCACCACACUGGAGGGCUUUUCAUAAGUUGUGACACUUAGGUCUGUUUGCCACAUACCAUCUUGCUCCACAUCAGGUACCAAACACGAUGACAGUUUGAAGCCAGUUGCUGAGUGAGAAACACUGAAGCAGGUGGUUCCUUCUUUUUUUUCCUAAGAAAACAGUGUCACAGCUGCUAUUGAGCAAGAUGAGUGGUGGUCUGUUGAUCAGUUGAUGGUGACAGGGUAAUGGUGGUUUUCAUCUAGAUUUUAGGAGUAAGUAUGCUCUAAAUGUGACAUUAAGAGGUGGAAUAUAGGACAGGGAAUAUAGAAGCAGGGAAUAAUCCCUGUUUCUGUCAUCAUUGUUCAGUGUAUUCCUUAGGAAAUUUUACAUGGGGAAAAUUCAGUCACCCAAAAGACCAGUAUUCUCCGGCAGAAUAGUAGAGUAUUCACAUGUUUGAGAACAUGUUGUUACAUUGCCUCUCACAGAUACAACGCAGAUUGCAAGUGACUGUUUACUCUUAACUUGGCUCUAGUGCUGCCUUGGUGAGGUGUCCUUCUGGUCUGGAGAACUUGGUUAUUUACAGCUGACAUUACGUGUUGUGCAUAUAUAGUUUGCACCAGACUUUGCCAUGUUAGACACUUAGAGACAAUUUACACAGUGAUAGGAUGAUGUUUGCGUGUGACAUCAAACAGUCUUUGUGACUGGACAUACUUUCCUGCUUGACUUUGUGACAUUAAUAGUUAAGAUAUUACUUUUUCCUGAUGUACCAGCAGAGGACACCCAGUUCCUGGAGUCUUCAUGUGACUUUCAAAAGCCGACAUGCUGUGUUUGAACAAGGAACACGUAGGUGGCCGUAGUCGUUGUUUUCAAGAAUUGCUUUGAGAAAGCAACUGCAAGUGGUUUAAUAGUCUAUGAUAUAACUGUGGUGGUGCAGCCCCUCGGGCCACUCUGAGAUCUCAGGAUAAGCCAUGCAUGCUUUGGGAAAACCUCCCAUUGUGCUGUUAUCUCGGUUGCAAGUGCAGAGAUUUAUGGGUGCCAGGCAUCCCCGGCCACACCGGGGCCAUCUGCUCCCUGAAUGGUAUAUCAGGAUGACCGUGGCCAGAAUGUAAAACAAUGACCAAAGCCAAUCAUCUCGAGACCCUAUAAAUAGCCAUCCAAGGAGAGACCCCCCCAGAGACUGAGACCACAGCGGGCUGUGUGACCCAGUAUCUCCCCCUGAGCUGGGACGGCUCUCAGGGUAGAUUUCAUGAGGAUUUGCAGUUUGGUUUGGAACUAUUUUGCCUGUCUCUGCGUGAUUUAGUUUGGAGCUAUUUUGUCUGCCUGUGUUGUUCAGAACUGUUUUAUCUGUCUGUGCGUGUGUGUGAUUUGAUUUAACCUCCAACCCUGCUGUAAGUUUCGGGUGAUCCUUGCCGUUUUUGAAUCUUUAACUAAGUAAGUUCGCAAAUUUGAUUGUAACAAAUUCCAUUGAAUCAUUCUGCUAAAUUGGCUCAUAAUUAAGUACUGUUACAAGUCAUGCAACCUAAUCUUGUGAUCUAUCUCAAAAAUAUUAAUAAAUCCUAAAUUGCUGCUAAACCAAAGCCGUAUAACAAAAUCUCAUUUGCAACAAUAACAUUUCCUCUUUUCCGUAUACUGAUUCUCUUUUACCUAGAGGCAUUCAGAUGCCUGUAUCCUUACUCAGGUUUCUGCUCACCAAUUUAAAUCUUUCUGCUGGCAGAGCAGACACUACAAUCAAGAAGUCGUUUUCCCAGGAUGCGGUUCAUCCUCUGUGCCAUGGGUAUUUUGACUUCUUUGGUUUCAGCUCAGCCACAUUGUUUUAGGUAGUGGAGAGCUGCAUUUGUGUUCUCCUUUGACUUAAAACCAUAAAAAAAAAAACCCCACACCAAAGCCCCCACGCACACUUUAACUCUUUUUCCUAAUUACAGACUGAAUGUUUACGCAAAUUUUUUCUGAUGAAUAAUCUUACACUUUUAAUGUCAUAUAUUAAUAUUGUAAGUAGCUAGAUAAUUUACUUGUUCUACACAAAAUGGAUAAAUUAGGUAUUUUGCCUGAAAGAACACAUGGUGUUGCCCUCUUCUAUCUUGGUAUAGGUCAACAACUGUUCUGUUUCAAUAUAACAUUAUUUUCCAUGCGUUCGUAAAGUAAUAAUGAAUGUAAUAAGAAAAUAAAAACAUCCCUCAGGAUGUUCUAUGACACAGACAUUUCUGACUCUAUCUAGUAAAUACAUUUUCUUAAAAAAAACCAGAUCAAACAGAUUAUUUGCUAAACUGAGACUACAACAGGAUUUAUUUAAGGGAAAGUAAUUGUGAGAGAAGUUAACUGUAUGCAAACAUGAUUCAUACAGUAUUGUUUUUCCACUUCAUGGUAUAGGUGUUCAACUGGAAAGAAACUUGAUGCCAUAAACUUGUAAGCUAUCAUAUAUGUUACAUAGCAAAAUAUAUUUUUAUUUUUUAUUUACUGAUUCAGUUAAUUCAUUCCUUGCUUAUUGGUUUUAAUGUUCAUGGCAAACUGACUUACGACAAAAUGGAUGGCUAGUACAGUGUUCCUUUAUGACUGAUUUACUUUUGGCAUGCAUGAAGCUUUUGUGGGGAGGGGUGAGUACUGUCUAAAUCUGAAUAAAUAUUUUAAC